rnacentral:rRNA from 1 species
CCUACGGGGGGUAGCAGUGAGGAAUAUUGGUCAAUGGACGAGAGUCUGAACCAGCCAAGUAGCGUGAAGGAUGACUGCCCUAUGGGUUGUAAACUUCUUUUAUAUGGGAAUAAAAUGUUCCACGUGUGGGAUUUUGUAUGUACCAUAUGAAUAAGGAUCGGCUAACUCCGUGCCAGCAGCCGCGGUAAUACGGAGGAUCCGAGCGUUAUCCGGAUUUAUUGGGUUUAAAGGGAGCGUAGGUGGAUUGUUAAGUCAGUUGUGAAAGUUUGCGGCUCAACCGUAAAAUUGCAGUUGAAACUGGCAGUCUUGAGUACAGUAGAGGUGGGCGGAAUUCGUGGUGUAGCGGUGAAAUGCUUAGAUAUCACGAAGAACUCCGAUUGCGAAGGCAGUUCACUGGACUGCAACUGACACUGAGGCUCGAAAGUGUGGGUAUCAAACAGGAUUAGAUACCCCUGUAGUC